AUUUUGGAAGGAUUACUGGGUGUUUCCGUUGUGAGGACAAGUUUGUGUACUUUAGUAUUCCUAAUACCCGCAGAAAACGCUCUGAAUCAGUGAACGGAGUUAGUUUUCUAAAGUUAGUUCGGUGAGGUAGCCCUCGUCGCAAUAAUUUUAUUUUAGUGGCGAAAACUGAACCUUGGACAAUUUUGAUUAACGAGUAUAAAGCGUUACUACAUCCCCACGUAAGCAUAUCAAAAGACCGGGAUUGAAAGGCCCGUGAAACAUAAUGAAAAUAAGCGUGAAAAUGUGACACUGACAUUAUAACAUGUAAUAAUAUAUGAAAUGGUAUUAUGGGAAGUGUAUGAUACUUAGUUUUUUUAUUAUUAUAUUAAACAUUACACACCCUUAUUAGCCUCAAUCGGAUUAAUAUAAUAUAAAUCACCGCACAGGUGCGAUAAAAUAGCGACAAUCUUCAGAUCGACCUAGCCCGAAACUAAGCAAAGCUUGUACUAUGGGUACUAGGCGACGAUAUAAUAUAAUAAUAUAAUAAAGCCAUUUAUUCCGAAUUAUAUACAUUUCAUGAGUUUUAUUUGGAUAUUCCACAGUUCGGCACGCCGUAAGGCAUAGGCCUCCUCCAACUGUCUCCAUUGGGCUCUGUCUGCAGCAACCCUCAUCCAGUUGGCCUCAGAGUCAGACGAAUGUCAUCUUUCCAUCUUGUAAUUGGAUGUGCUUGCUUUCUAGUACAGCCACUAGGGUACCAUAGAGUAACCUGUUUGCUCCAUUUUUCUAUUGGGAAGCGUAGCAUGUGGACUGUCCAUCCCCACUUUCGAUGGUCAAUGCGAGCAAGUAUGUCCUAAAUCUUUGUUUUCUUUCUUAACUCUGAGUUUCUGAUCUCAUCCGAUAGUUUAAUCCCUAACAUACUACGCUCCAUUACCCUUUGACACCUUGCAAGCGUCUCGCGAUGGUUUUCGGUAGGAGACCAGGUCCCACAGCCAUAUACAUACGUAUAUAGAUAAAUACAUACUUAUAUACAUAGAAGACACCCAUGACUCAUAAACAAAUAUCUGUGUUCAUAACACAAAUAAAUGCCCUUACCGGGAUUCGAACCCGGGACCAUCGGCUUCAUAGGCAGGGUCACUACCCACGGUCAGACCGGUCGUCGAAUAAAAAAGCACGCGUAUUUAAUAUCUAGGGUUAUGAGCCUAAACGCGGUUCAAUAAGUUUCACGUUACGAGCAAGUUUAUUAAAAUAGUACAUUGCGAUACAAGUGCGAAAAAUAGGAAAUUCGCAACGAGUAGCGAUAAAUUAAAACACGACCGAAGGGAAUGUUUUAAAUCCUAAUCUACCACGCUGUCCAAAGCGAGCAUGCAGCAGCGCGAGCGACGUAUUGUCCAGAUCUGGACGGGCUUUAAAAUUAAAAGCGGCCAAGUGCGAGUCGGACUCGCGCAUGAAGGGUUCCGUACAAUUUAAGACGUAUUAAAAAAAAAUCUUCUUACUAGAUCUUGUUCAACAUUUUACCACUUUGGACACACAUUUUACCACUUUGGAAGUGUCUCUCGCGCAAACUAUUCAGUUUAGAAAAAAAUGAUAUUAGGAACCUAACUAUCAUUUUUGAAGACCUAUCCAUACAUACCUUACACGUAUAUGUUUGAUGAAAAAAAUUUUUUUUAAAUUUUAUGACGUAUUAAAAAAAAAACUACUCACUAGAUCUCGUUCAAAACAAUUUUCGGUGGAAGUUUGCAUGGUAAUGUAUAUCAUAUAUUUUUUUUAGAUUUUUCAUUCUGUUAUUUUAGAAGUUACAGGGGGGGGGACACACUUUUUUUCACUUUGGAAGGUUCUCUCGCACAAACUAUUCAGUUUAGAAAAAAAUGAUAUUAGAAACAUUAAUAUCAUUUUUGAAGACCUAUCCAUAGAUACCCCACACGUAUGGGUAUGAUGAAAAAAAAUUUUUUUUUUUAAUUUCAUGACGUAUUAAAAAAAAACUACUUACUAGAUCUCGUUCAAACCAAUUUUCGGUGGAAGUUUACAUGGCAAUGUAUAUCAUAUAUUUUUUUUAGAUUUUUCAUUCUGUUAUUUUAGAAGUUACGGGGGGGGGGACACACUUUUUUUCACUUUGGAAGGUUCUCUCGCGCAAACUAUUCAGUUUAGAAAAAAAUGAUAUUAGAAACAUUAAUAUCAUUUUUGAAGACCUAUCCAUAGAUACCCCACACGUAUGGGUAUGAUGAAAAAUUUUUUUUUUUUUAAUUUCAUAACGUAUUAAAAAAAAAACUACUUACUAGAUCUCGUUCAAACCAAUUUUCGGUGGAAGUUUACAUGGCAAUGUAUAUCAUAUAUUUUUUUUAGAUUUUUCAUUCUGUUAUUUUAGAAGUUACGGGGGGGGGGACACACAUUUUACCACUUUGGAAGUGUCUCUCGCGCAAACUAUUCAUUUUAGAAAAAAAUGAUAUUAGAAACCUCAAUAUCAUUUUUGAAGACCUAUCCAUAGAUACCCCACACGUAUGGGUUUGAUGAAAAAAGAUUUUUUGAGUUUCAGUUCUAAGUAUGGGGAACCCCCAAAAUUUAUUGUUUUUUUUCUAUUUUUGUGUAAACAUCCUAAUGCGGUUCAUAGAAUACAUCUACUUACCAAGUUUGAACAGUACAGCUCUUAUAGUUUCGGAAAAAAGUGGCUGUGACAGAAUCGGACAGACAGACGGACAUGACGAAUCUAUAAGGGUUCCGUUUUUUGCCAUUUGGCUACGGAACCCUAAAAAUGCUGCUGAUGCAAAUUGCAGCCCAAAAUACGAGACAUCGAUAAAGAUAAAGAUAGUUUAUUAUUUAAGUAGACAUAUUACAAUGCGCUUGUGAACGUCAAAUAAAGCUACAUCAGUCUCAUUUUCCUUAAUAAAUUGCUGCUGGUGCUGUAGUUUCCAAAUUAGUGUGGCUAUUAAAGGAAUACGAGAGCAGAGAUUUAAAUAUUUUAGGUGAAUAUAUCCGUCUCACUAACGGGAGCGAUUCCUUAAACUAGUGCGAUAAGGACAAGGCGACGUUAGGCGAAAAAUCCUGCGUAAAAGUCUCAAAUAAUGAUGUUUCGUACUCGACUUUCUCCUCCUCCAAAACUUAACCAAAUGUAACGAAAAUUUGAGGUCUAAAUGGUAAUGAAAUUAUCUGUGUCGGACUGUUUUGCUUUUUAGGCUAAUUAAUGUCAGUUUUGAAUACCAUGCUUCUCUUUGCGACCUAGUAAAUUAGGCCGUUUUUGCGAAAAUUUGAAGUGCACUAGCGCCUUAAGGAACAAAAAUAUCAAAAAAAGUAAAACAGUCCGACACAGGUAUAAAUAAUAUGUGUUGAAAAAAUCAUUGCUCUAUCUUCAAUAACCACGGAGGAAAGAGUCGAGUACGUUUAUAUGGAGAAAUGACCACUCCUGUUGCCUCUUAAGACGUUUACGUUUAGUUCCGUCCCAUAUUUUUACAUCGAACAAAUUAUCAGCGACAUCUCCCGUACCCUACAGCUACAGUACGUAGGAACAAGAGUUGCGAUGUGUUAAGUCGAAUAGAUUAAACUACACCUGAACAUAUUAUACGCAUUUAUCAAAACUGUAACUAAUGCUAAUAAUUUCGUGUUGUUUUAUCUGCAUAAAUGUCCUUGUAUAUAAAUUACGCUGGUCACGCGCAUUACUAUAAGAAGGUAGAAUAUUUUUUUGUGAGCCACUCUAAGAGUACUCAAGAUCAUGAAAACAAUAGCGCUGUUGUUAGGAGUGUUGGUGGCCUUUCUAGGACUGGCGGCGGCCGGCUACUUUCCCCCCACAUCUCACCUUCGAACAUCUCAACUAUGCGGAUGUCCACCAACAAAGGAAUUUUGCUCCGGCUUCGACCAUAAGACUUAUCACAGUAUGUGCGAGUUCGAGUGCGUAAACCCUGGAGUAGUAGGCUGGAAGAUACUCUACUACGGACCGUGCAAGUCACGCUUGCGCGGUUGAAAAUGGCAAAGCACUAACUUAACGCAAGGGAUUUGGUAGAAAGGCAAAUUUAUUAAAUAAAAUACAAAACAGUACUACAGAUAAGAAGAUUAAUUAAUAAUAAGAUUUUCCACACCAGAUAGAGAUGAUGGUCGCAAAGAUAUUGUUGGAAAUUUGUCCAAAUUUAGGUAAAAUAAGUUUAGAAAAGUUUUAAGUUUUUCAUACUAUUUGUCUUACCGUCACUACUUAGCUACCGAACGAUUUUAAUGCGAUUAAAUUUUUUUUUAAU